rnacentral:rRNA from 1 species
UGGGGAAUAUUGGGCAAUGGGGGCAACCCUGACCCAGCGACGCCGCGUGGGUGAUGAAGGCUUUCGGGUCGUAAAGCCCUGUCAGGAGGAAAGAAUUCUCUCACAGUAAAUACCUGUGAGAGCUGACGGUACCUCCAAAGGAAGCACCGGCCAACUCCGUGCCAGCAGCCGCGGUAAGACGGAGGGUGCAAGCGUUGCUCGGAAUCACUGGGCGUAAAGGGUGCGUAGGCGGCCUGUCAAGUCUGGCGUGAAAGCCCAGGGCUCAGCCCUGGAAGUGCGCCAGAAACUGGAAGGCUAGAGUACCGGAGGGGAGAGUGGAAUUCCCGGUGUAGCGGUGAAAUGCGUAGAUAUCGGGAGGAAUACCGGUGGCGAAAGCGACUCUCUGGACGGUAACUGACGCUGAGGCACGAAAGCGUGGGGAGCAAACAGGAUUAGAUACCCCCGUAGUCC